UACGUAGGGGGCAAGCGUUGUCCGGAAUUAUUGGGCGUAAAGAGCGUGUAGGCGGUCCGGUAAGUCAGCUGUGAAAGUCAAGGGCUCAACCCUUGAAUGCCGGUUGAUACUGUCGGGCUAGAGUCCGGAAGAGGCGAGUGGAAUUCCCGGUGUAGCGGUGAAAUGCGCAGAUAUCGGGAGGAACACCAAUGGCGAAGGCAGCUCGCUGGGACGGUACUGACGCUGAGACGCGAACGCGUGGGGAGCAAACAGG
rnacentral:rRNA from 1 species